rnacentral:piRNA from 1 species
UGGAAACUUGGCUCCUCACGUAGGUA